GUAGACAUUUCUAAUUGAUGAUUAGGAUCAGGAAGCUCCGUAACUGCAGAGGUGUAAUUCGUGACUGAUCCAAUUGAAAUUUGAGGAGAAAGAUUAGACAUUGGGGGCUCCUCAUCACUAGAACUUUCAUCAUCAUCAAUCUCAUUAAACUGAAUUGGUGGAAACUCAUCUUGAAUAUGAGGUGUCGCUUGUUGUACAACUCCAUCUUGCGCAGACCUAUCGCGUCGAGAAGGAGGAACAGGAGGUUUCACAGGAGCAGGUGUACUAAUUGUUUCAGUAGCAAACGGUGCACUAAUAGGUUCAGUGGCUUGUUGUUUAUUAGCAAUUUCAAAUGGUGUAGGUGCACUAGUGUUUUCAAUAGGUUCCGCACUUGUAUUCUCGACUGGCUCAGCUGUGUUUCUGGCAGAUCCUGUUAACUUUGACAAGUCAGAUAAUACCGGGGAUCCACGUUGUGAAGCAGAGGUUGAUACAUCCACAACACUGCUAUCCUGAUGUUGUGGCUCCUCCAUAUUUGACAACUGCACAGGUUCAGAGUCCAAGCUAGGAUUAACACUUGAGUUAUUAACGCUAAGAGAUGUAGUCUUUGAAAUGCUUCUAGGAAACACAGCCGAAGCAAAUUCACUUUCCCAGAAAUUUGAAACCGGUGAACUAGCUCCUGAGAUUUUCAAGUUAUGGAAUGGAUUUCGGGAAACAGUGGAAGCAUGUGCUGAUGAAUUAUUAGAGUUCAGGGAUGGAGAACGGAGAGUAUUAUGCAUUGCAUCAAAAGAAUUAUGUUGAGUGGGCACCGAGGAAGUAGUAUCAGGAAGGGUUGGCUUAUCAGUGGUAAUUCCAUUGCUGGUAAA